rnacentral:rRNA from 1 species
GUACACACCGCCCGUCACACCAUGGGAGUGGGUUUCACCAGAAGUAGGUAGUCUAACCUUCGGGAGGGCGCCGACCACGGUGUGAUUCAUGACUGGGGUGAAGUCGUAACAAGGUAGCCGUAGGUGAACCUGCAGAAGGAUCA